rnacentral:rRNA from 1 species
CCCCUCGAAAUUAAGCAUAUCAAUAAGCGGAGGAAAAGAAACCAACAGGGAUUGCCCUAGUAACGGCGAGUGAAGCGGCAACAGCUCAAAUUUGAAAUCUGGCGUCUUUGGCGUCCGAGUUGUAAUUUGCAGAGGGCGCUUUGGCAUUGGCAGCGGUCCAAGUUCCUUGGAACAGGACGUCACAGAGGGUGAGAAUCCCGUACGUGGUCGCUAGCCUUUACCGUGUAAAGCCCCUUCGACGAGUCGAGUUGUUUGGGAAUGCAGCUCUAAAUGGGAGGUAAAUUUCUUCUAAAGCUAAAUACUGGCCAGAGACCGAUAGCGCACAAGUAGAGUGAUCGAAAGAUGAAAAGCACUUUGGAAAGAGAGUUAAAAAGCACGUGAAAUUGUUGAAAGGGAAGCGCUUGCAGCCAGACUUGCCUGUAGUUGCUCAUCCGGGUUUCUACCCGGUGCACUCUUCUAUAGGCAGGCCAGCAUCAGUUUGGGCGGUUGGAUAAAGGUCUCUGUCAUGUACCUCCUCUCGGGGAGAACUUAUAGGGGAGACGACAUGCAACCAGCCUGGACUGAGGUCCGCGCAUCUGCUAGGAUGCUGGCGUAAUGGCUGUAAGCGGCCCGUCUUGAAACACGGACCAAGGAGUCUAACAUCUAUGCAGGUUGGGG